rnacentral:rRNA from 1 species
UGGCGGCAGGCCUAACACAUGCAAGUCGAACGGUAACAGGAAGCAGCUUGCUGCUUUGCUGACGAGUGGCGGACGGGUGAGUAAUGUCUGGGAAACUGCCUGAUGGAGGGGGAUAACUACUGGAAACGGUGGCUAAUACCGCAUAACGUCGCAAGACCAAAGAGGGGGACCUUCGGGCCUCUUGCCAUCAGAUGUGCCCAGAUGGGAUUAGCUUGUUGGUGAGGUAACGGCUCACCAAGGCGACGAUCCCUAGCUGGUCUGAGAGGAUGACCAGCCACACUGGAACUGAGACACGGUCCAGACUCCUACGGGAGGCAGCAGUGGGGAAUAUUGCACAAUGGGCGCAAGCCUGAUGCAGCCAUGCCGCGUGUAUGAAGAAGGCCUUCGGGUUGUAAAGUACUU